rfam:Heterocephalus glaber contig162316, whole genome shotgun sequence.
ACAAAGGCCCUUUUCAGGGCCACCCACAAAGUCACGUAAAGGGCUG